ACAUCUGCAAGAGAGAAGCUUUCAGCUGUUGUUGUAGUGGUGAGUUUAUUGGAUGUAUGUAUACUGAAUCCAGCUGUACGUCAUGUAGAUUCUGACAGCAGUUGCAAGGAAAUGCAAGUGCUGGCAUUGUGGGGGACAAUGUGAUAAAGAGAUAAACUGAUUACCCAUCUCAGCAGUGAGUACACAGCACUCCGCUCAUUUCUCAUGCCAAGGACCAGGUGGUGCCUCCUACAUGCUGGAUGACAGGAACCUGUACACCUCCAAGUGUGCAGUGGGAGUGACAUCCUGAUGGCUCUUGGGGAAACUCUGCACCUCCCUCAACUGAAAUGAUCUUGUGAAUUUGUAUUAAUUGUGGACCAAUGAGGAAGCCACAUCUUAGAGCUCUCCCCUCCUGAAUCCAGACCUCUGCAUAAAUAAAUACAUAAAUAGUGGGA